UCUACAACUGAGUAACGACGAACUCAGUAGAUUGUAACUCNGGGGUAGUACGCAACGAGCGCAACCCCCGUGAUGUGUUGCCAGCAUUAAGUAGGGGACUCACUUCAGGCUGCCGGUGACAAACCGGAGGAAGGUGGGGACGACGUCAAGUCAUCAUGGCUCUUACGUCCAGGGCUAGAAACGUGCUACAAUGGCAUGCACAAAGGGUUGCCAAGCCGCGAGGUGGAGCGAAUCCCAGCAAAGCAUGUCUAAGUUCGGAUCGCAGUCUGCAACCCGACUGCGUGAAGGCGGAGUCGCUAGUAAUCGCGGAUCAGCAUGCCGCGGUGAAUACGUACACGGGCCUGGUACACACCGCCCGUCACACCACGGGAGUACGCAAUACCCGAAGUCGGCGCAGCCAACCCCCUCCUUUUGGAGGAGGAGGCGGUCGGCGAAGGUACGGGCUUGNCGACUGGAGGCUGAAAGUUCGUAUACAAAGGGUUAGCCCCGUUACGCUGGAANACGGGUGCCGGGGCCUGGGAAAUUCACCCCCUACCCUUUUUCCUAAGGAGGGAAAGUUAAGGGGUUAAUGGGCCCUGGGCCCAACCANUCCCGAACGCNGGNACGAAAGGGUUUCUUCAUACUAAAAUGCCGGGGCUCCGAAGUCNGUUNAGCCUNCGUCCCGUUGGGGGAAAUUCAACCUCCGGAAACCCCUAAAGGGGAAAUU
rnacentral:rRNA from 1 species